GGUCCCACUGGCUUUUUUUUUUAACUAAUUAAUUAAUUUAUUUAUUUUCCACUGGCUUUUCUUGAUACCCUGGUGAGAGAGAACAGCUGAGCCAAAGUCAGAGGCCUCGUAUCUAUAGAAUGAAGAAGACCCAUGAGCACAGAGAAUCUUGUUUGAUUUGUUUACCAAUGAGCCCUCAUGCCUAGAACUGUGUUUGGUAACAUGGUGGAAAAACAUUUUGAGAAGCCAUGGCUAACCACAUACAUUUUAUCCUGGAAGUAUAAAUCAUUUUCUUUAUGUAUUGGGGAAGAAAACAUUCAUUUUGCCUAGGAGAGAGAAGGACCUCAAAUUUAAGUGUAAUAUCCUGGGCUUCAGGAUGUAAAGGCUAGACAAGACAGAGAUAUAUCACUGGGGUCACACACCCUUGGUUGGUGCCAGCGGGCAAGUCCUCCAACAAGGUAGGUGUGGAACAACGUAGCAGGGAAGUGG
rnacentral:lncRNA from 1 species